rnacentral:rRNA from 1 species
UGCAAGUCGAGGGGGUAACAGGGGAGCUUGCUCCGCUGACGACCGGCGCACGGGGUGCGUAACGCGUAUAGAACCUACCUUUUACAGGGGGAAUAGCCUUUAGAAAAUGAAGAUUAAAUGCCCCAUAGUAUUGUAGACUGGCAUCAGUUUAACAAUUAAAGAUUUAAUCGGUAAAAGAUGGCUAUGCGUCCUAUUAGUUAGUUGGUAAGGUAACGGCUUACCAAGACAUCGAUAGGUAGGGGUCCUGAGAGGGAGAUCCCCCACACUGGUACUGAGACACGGACCAGACUCC